GCGCCCAUAGCUCAAUUGGCAGAGCAGGACUCUCUUAAAGUCAAGGUUCCAGGUUCGAUCCCUGGUGGGCGCA
rnacentral:tRNA from 1 species